rnacentral:rRNA from 1 species
CCUACGGGAGGCAGCAGUGGGGAAUCUUCCGCAAUGGGCGAAAGCCUGACGGAGCAACGCCGCGUGAGUGAAGACGGCCUUCGGGUUGUAAAGCUCUGUUAUACGGGACGAAUAGUCUUGUGGUUAAUACCCAUAAGAAGUGACGGUACCGUAAGAGAAAGCCACGGCUAACUACGUGCCAGCAGCCGCGGUAAUACGUAGGUGGCAAGCGUUGUCCGGAAUUAUUGGGCGUAAAGGGCGCGCAGGCGGCUUCUUAAGUCUGUCUUAAAAGUGCGGGGCUUAACCCCGUGAUGGGAUGGAAACUGGGAAGCUCAGAGUAUCGGAGAGGAAAGCGGAAUUCCUAGUGUAGCGGUGAAAUGCGUAGAUAUUAGGAGGAACACCAGUGGCGAAAGCGGCUUUCUGGACGAAAACUGACGCUGAGGCGCGAAAGCCAGGGGAGCGAACGGGAUUAGAUACCCCAGUAGUC